GCCUAGGUGGCUCAGUCAGUUAAGCAUCUGACUUAGGCUCAGGUCGUGAUCUCGUGGUUCGUGGGUUUGAGCCCUGCACUGGGCU
rnacentral:tRNA from 1 species